UUUUAUGGAGAGUUUGAUCCUGGCUCAGAGUGAACGCUGGCGGCGUGCCUAAUACAUGCAAGUCGAACGAUGAAGCUUUUAGCUUGCUAGAAGUGGAUUAGUGGCGCACGGGUGAGUAAGGUAUAGUUAAUCUGCCCUACACAAGAGGACAACAGUUGGAAACGACUGCUAAUACUCUAUACUCCUGCUUAACACAAGUUGAG
rnacentral:rRNA from 1 species